UAGAUUCGUCUUAGGGUGAAAGUGGCGAACGGGUGAGUAACACGUUGGUGACCUACCCCAGAGAUAGGGAUAACCAUUGGAAACGAUGGCUAAUACCUUAGAUGUCAUUAUUGUUAGAGGAUAAUGACUAAAGCUCCGGCGCUCUGGGAGGGGCCUGCGUCCCAUCAGCUAGUUGGUAAGGUAACGGCUUACCAAGGCGAAGACGGGUAGGGGGCGUGAGAGCGUGACCCCCCACACUGGUACUGAUACACGGACCAGAUACCUACGGGUAGCAGCAGCAAGGAAUAUUGCGCAAUGGACGAAAGUCUGACGCAGCAACACCGCGUGGAGGAUGAAGGCCUUCGGGUCGUAAACUCCUUUUCUGGGGGAAGAGAAAGGACGGUACCCCAGGAAUAAGUCUCGGCUAACUACGUGCCAGCAGCCGCGGUAAAACGUAGGAGGCGAACGUUAUCCGGAUUUACUGGGCGUAAAGCGCAUGCAGGCGGUUUCUUAAGUCGGACGUGAAAGCUCCUGGCUCAACUGGGAGAGGUCGUUCGAAACUGGGGAACUUGAGGAUGGUAGAGGAGAGUGGAAUUCCCGGUGUAGUGGUGAAAUGCGUAGAUAUCGGGAGGAACACCAGUGGCGAAGGCGGCUCUCUGGGCCAUUCCUGACGCUAAGAUGCGAAAGCUAGGGGAGAGAACGGGAUUAGAAACCCCGGUAUUCCUAGCCGUAAACGAUGUC
rnacentral:rRNA from 1 species